GGCGGUGGAGCGGGGCCCCGGCUUUCCCCGCCCCUCCUGCCGCCAUCUUUGGAAGGUCAAGCGAGUCGUCCCCGUCCCGACGCGUUCCCGCCGCCUCCCCGUGCUUCCCCGCCGUCUCCACUCUGACACAAACCGCCCCCCUCCGGUGCAGGGAAAUGCCGGAGAACACGAAAGCAUCGGGGCAGAGCAGCCGCUGGAGGUGCCCGAGCCGUCUCCCCCUUGCCCGCAGGGCCGGAGUUGCCCACCGCCGGGAGCUGACAGGUCCGUGCAGGAGAGUGGGAGAAGGGUCCCUGCUGGUUGCCGUGUUCUCGGUGGGCAGAGAGCUCUGACCUUGGCUAGAUGGGCUGGUUUGCUGAAUUAGGACUCUUACCUGUGUGACCCGUGAAAUGUCCCGGAAGCUGAUUAAUGUCUUCGUGCUCCUGCUGUGUUCAUUUGGGCUGUGCUUCAGGCUUCUCUCCCUGGGCCCUUGCCGUUGCUGUAUCUCUUGGAUGCCGUGCAGAAUGGAAUCAGGCAGCCAAGCCUCAGGUUCACCUUCUCCCUCACCCUCUGCGCUGCUCGUGUGGCACAGCAGAUCCUGAAGCCAGAGGAGCACGUGUACAUAAGGGUAAAGAGAUUCCUUCUGUCACACCGGUGUUUGGACCUGAGGAAGGUACUGGGUUUCCUCCAGCUUUUCUACAGUUUUGAUUUUGAGAAAACAAAGCGUGAGUGGAUCCUCAGAUUUCUUGGGGAAGGGCUGCGUGACAAACAUUGCUAUGAGCUUUAUGUCUACCAGAGGAUUUUCCGGGUCAUUCUUGCCUUUUUCAGCAGUCCUUUUUGGGACCAGGGCUCCCAGAGUCAUAUUCUGGAGAUAUUACAAAGUGCUGCCCGUGUCACCAGAGCUGCCCAUGAGCUGAUAGAGGAUGACAGCCUCCUCUCGUGGGUCCUGCACGGCUUAGAGAAAAGGUAACCAGAGAAGUACAGGAGAAAUGGGAACAAUUUUCUGUCCACAGUUGAAGAAUGACGUGGCUGAGGAUGAAAGCAAGGGGGACAGACCUGGAGACAGGGGCACCGAGGGCUGCAGUGGCAGAACUUGCUGAACUCUGAGGUGUCCCUUGUGUUUUUGAAAACAGAAUCAAGGUGUUUUCAGGUGGUGGUAGGAGGGAUGAUGGUGGGGGGAGCUGUGUGAUUUGGAAAUCACUUCCUUGACAAAGCAAAAUGACACCUUGUGCUGGUGUCUUAACUUUUAAAUUUCAAGCACCCUCAGUUCCCAUCCUGUCACAGGACCUGCUGCACAGGAAGUGGCACAGUAAUGGAUUUGUUGUCUAGAACAUUAUUUCUCCACCCCUUGCCUCUCCCUGACAAAAAAUCUCUUCUGCAAACACAAAGUGCCAUGACAGGUUCAGGCAAGUGCACCAAAAGUGCCCUAGAAUAUAGUCCCCUGUAGGAGAUGGACCAGCUGCUGGUGAGGAUUUGCCUUUCAAAUGUGGUUUUCCUUUUUUUCUUUUUUCUUUUUUUUUUUUUGUUUGUUUUGGUUUCGUUUGUUUGUUUGUUUUUUGUUUUGUUUUGUUCUAUUUUGUUUUUCAGGUUUCUGGAGAACAAGGUGAUAAAUAAGAUUAUUUCCUUACUCCAUCCUCUAUGGCUAAUAAAUUUAGGAGACGAGAGAAAACAAGGAUCAAUCUCAGAUACUGCUGUUGAGAUAUAUUAUGGAUCCAUAUGGAUUCUAUUAUUAUUGAUUGAUUAUAUUAAUAUUAAUUAUCUACUAUCUAUCUGUAUAUAUAUGUAUAUAUAUCUUUGUAGUGACAAUAAUAGGAUUAUUUAUUAUAUGUUGCUUUAAUGCUUUGUAUAUUUAAUAAAGUGUGAUUUUAAGUUA